rnacentral:SRP_RNA from 1 species
GCCAGGCAUGGUGGCACAUGCCUGUAUUGCUAGCUGCUUGGGAGGCUGAGGCAGGAGGAUCACUUGAGCAUAGGAGUUCUGGGCUGUAGUGCGCCAUGCCGAUUGGGUAUUGCAUUAAGCUCUACAUCGAUAUAGUGACCUCUUGGGGGUGAGGGACCACCAUGUUGCCUAAGGAGGGAUGAACCAGCCUAAGUUGGAAAGGGAGCAGGUCAAAACUCCUGUGUUGAUCAGUAGUGGGAUUUUGCCUAUUAAUAGCCACUGUGCACUGUCUUGCCUGGGGAAUAUAGCAAGAUCUUGUCUCU